rnacentral:tRNA from 1 species
GCCUGACUGGUUCAGUCAGUAGAACAUGUGACUCUUGAUCUGAGGGUUGUGAGUUUAAGCCUCACAUUGGGCA